rnacentral:rRNA from 1 species
UACGUAGAUGGCGAGCGUUACUCGGAAUUACUAGGCGUAAAGCGCGUGUAGGCGGGAGGUUAAGUUUGCUGUUAAAUCUCGUGGCUCAACCACGAAAUGCCGGCGAAUACUGGCCCUCUUGAAUUCGGUAGAGGAAACUGGAAUUCCAGGUGUAGCGGUGAAAUGCGUAGAUAUCUGGAAGAACGCCAAAGGCGAAGGCAGGUUUCUGGGCCGCAAUUGACGCUGAGACGCGAAAGCUAGGGGAGCAAACAGG